rnacentral:rRNA from 1 species
CCUACGGGAGGCAGCAGUGAGGAAUAUUGGUCAAUGGACGAGAGUCUGAACCAGCCAAGUAGCGUGAAGGAUGACUGCCCUAUGGGUUGUAAACUUCUUUUAUAAAGGAAUAAAACGAGGCACGUGUGCCUUUUUGCAUGUACUUUAUGAAUAAGGAUCGGCUAACUCCGUGCCAGCAGCCGCGGUAAUACGGAGGAUCCGAGCGUUAUCCGGAUUUAUUGGGUUUAAAGGGAGCGUAGAUGGGUUGUUAAGUCAGUUGUGAAAGUUUGCGGCUCAACCGUAAAAUUGCAAUUGAUACUGGCAGUCGUGAGGACAGUUGAGGUAGGCGGAAUUCGCGGUGUAGCGGUGAAAUGCUUAGAUAUCACGAAGAACCCCGAUUGCGAAGGCAGCUUACUAAACUGUGACUGACAUUGAUGCUCGAAAGUGUGGGUAUCAAACAGGAUUAGAUACCCUAGUAGUC